AGCAUUCAAUCAUAUGUCAAAAUGAAUUGAAUAAUAUUAAAAGAGCUAUUGUAGGUAAGGAUUGGUCCGUUAAUAAGGCAUUUAAGGAUUCAAUCCUUAUAGACGUGGCAUGUUGCCAUUGGCUCUCUAUAUCUCUCUCUUGUUUUCUCUGCUCUGUUAAUUUUCUCGUCGCCUCCGAUCCCGGGUGGGUCUUCUUCUCCAUCAUCCUGAUUUGCAAUCUGAUAGAUAUCAAUCUAUCUGUUUCUGAGUGAAUCGAUCGUCUUUUGAGCGACGAGGCUUCUACUUCCGACGAAACCCCUUUAGAUUUGUGCUUUUCAGCCGGAGCUUGUUCAGCGUGUUGAGAGAGACUUACUGAACAUCUUGAGUGGCGGAACAAUCGGAAACGUAAAUGAGCAGCAAGAGGAAACAGUUGCGAACGAGAAUACUAGUGUUAAUAAUGCAAACAAGAAAAUGUCUUCUUCUUCACCUGCUGAUGCACCUGGUGAAAAGCCUGAAGAAGCUCUUGAGUCAGCAAGAAAAGAGUGUUCCGGUCUGGUAAUAAUAAUAACCUCUGUGAGUUUGUUGUGAGAGGCCACAUUUUGAUUAACUAAAGAAACUUGUAUUGUCAAAAGUACACAUACAUGAAUCUCUGUUUGCUUCUCUAUGAUAUAAUCAUCAUUCUUCUUGGAA